rnacentral:rRNA from 1 species
GACGAACGCUGGCGGCGCGCUUAACACAUGCAAGUCGAACGGAAAGGCCUGCUUUCCCUUGUGGAUUGCGGGUACUCGAGUGGCGAACGGGUGAGUAACACGUGAGUGAUCUGCCCCCAACUUGGGUAUAAGCCUGGGAAACUGGGUCUAAUUCCCGAUAGGACUGCAGGGUGGUGCCUGUGGUGGAAAACGAUUUUCUAGUGGUUGGGGAUGAGCUCGCGGCCUAUCAGCUUGUUGGUGGGGUAAUGGCCUACCAAGGCGGCGACGGGUAGCCGGCCUGGGAGGGUGGACGGCCACAUUGGGACUGAGAUACGGCCCAGACUCCUACGGGAGGCAGCAGUGUGGAAUAUUGCACAAUGGGCGGAAGCCUGAUGCAGCGACGCCGCGUGGGGGAUGACGGCCUUCGGGUUGUAAACUCCUUCCGACCGCGAGGAAGCCACCUGGUUGGAAGGGUGGUGACGGUAGUGGUAGAAGAAGCACCGGCUAACUACGUG